rnacentral:lncRNA from 1 species
CCAGCUGUUGCUGAGGGAAAGAAGGUCCCGCAUGCCUGCGACUUAGGGCUCAUACAUAUGGAGCGGCGGAGAUUACAGCAUAAAUUUGAAUGUUAUGAAUGUGCAUGAGCGACAGGCAGGAAGCUCACCUCGCCAAGGCAGGAAAGGCGCUGCUUCCCGGGUUGUGUACAGGAAGCUUUUGUCCCCUGGAUCCUCAACUGUGCCCACUCUGUACCCAAUUGUGUCCCACAGAGAAGAAAGACAGCAGGGAAAGCUUGCCCUUGCCCAGCGGAAGAGACAGGCUGGACCAGGACAGCCAGUCUGCAAGGCAGCGACUACAAAUGCACGGCCAGAGGUUCCUGGAAGACCACGUGGAGGAAGAGGCCACAGCUGCCAACAGAGGGGGCCAGCGCCUCAGUGUGACAACACCAGGGUGGGCCUUCCAGCUUGGAAGCACAAGUCCACGCCACUCCUGGGAGUGUGUCUGUGUAACAGGGCCCAGGCCCCUCUGCUGGUUUCCAACCUGCAGUGCUCUCUGAGCAGACUCUGUGAUUUGCGGUGCAGGCCACCCAGGGACUUUAAUCUUCACCGUGACAAAU